rnacentral:rRNA from 1 species
UUUUUAUGCAAAUUUUUGUUUUAAAAUAUUUAAAUAAUUAUUUUUAGCAGUAAUUAAUAUUAAAAAUUUAGUUAUUUAAGAUUUAGGAAUAAUAAAAAAUUAUAAAAUAAUUUGUGCCAGCAUUUGCGGUUAUACAAAUAUAAUAAGUAAUAUUAAUUGGUUAUAAGUUUUUAUUUGUUUUAUAUGUAUUAUUAUCAAAUUUAAGUGAAAUUUUAUUUUUAAUAUAAGUAUGUUUAAUAUCUUUUAUUCUUGGAAAUUUUUUUUUAAACUAGGAUUAGAUACCCUAUUAUUUUAAAUGUAAUUAAUUCCUUAUUAGUAAAAGUUAUAUUCUCUAAAAUAAAAAAAUUUGGCGGUAUUUUUACUAAUCAGAGGAACCUGCUCUUUAAAUGAUAUUCCACGAUUGUUUAUAUUUAAUUUAAAUAGUUUGUAUAUCGUUGUUUAUUGAUUAUAUUGAGAAUAUUUUAAUAAUCUUUAUUCACAGUUAUGGAGUAUUUCAAAUCAAGAUGCAGCUUAUAAUUAAAAUUGAGUGGGUUACAAUAAAUUUAUUUGUGGUUUAAUUUUUUAAAAUUUUUAAUAAAAUGGAUUUGAUGGUAAUUUAAUAAACAUUUUUUAAAUGAUUUAGUUCUAAAAUAUGCACAUAUCGCCCGUCAUUUUCACAAAAUUGAAACAAGUCGUAACAAAGUAGGAGUACUGGAAAGUGCCCCUAGAAUUAA